GCCAUCUGCUCUGCUUUUUUUUUUUUCCAAUUUUUAUCUGCAACAGUGAAUCUAUUUGUCGUGGUACAGCCAAUUUUCAUGCUAGAAUUCGCUGGUUCGCUGUGAAUUACUGUGAUUUAUAUGCCGCGUCAUUUCCUGACAAACGAAACGAUCCAUGGUCACUGGCGCAGUGGCGCCCCCAUGUUCUGAGGAAGUUCAGGACAUGGGUAGUGGGGGCAGCAAGCAGCAUGGAUGAUUUUGAUUAGUUGGAAGCCUUAAUAAUCUGCAAUUUUUUAGCAUCUCAUAGUGUAUGUGCAGUGUCAGUUAAGUUAACAGAAACAUGUCGAUCAGACAACAGACUUGGACAAAAUAAAGAUAAAGUAUUCAGUCUUUACAGCUCAACCAGCCCUGAUAACUUUGUCAGUUCCACUGGGAUACUUCCUGUAAUGUUCUUCCCCGACAAUGUGCUGCAAGAAAAAAAAAAUAUUAGGUGCCAAAUACUUUUUCAUUAAGGUAGGCUAAAAAUUGAAGGUAGAAUUGACAUGGUUGUCAUACAUUGAGAAUAACCUUGGAAAAGCUUCUGAACUGCAUUGCACCCAGGACCAUGAUGCUGGUAAGCAUGGAUCACCACCCUCUUGUGCCCAACCUUCCUGUGGAUAUCGUGAUACCAUGCUAGCCAUGAUAUUUGCUGUUAAUGUUGCAUACACUAAUUCAGUCUCAAAGUGGAUUUCUUGUUCUGAAACAUAAGGGGUCGUUGCAGCUAGGACAUAGAAGGGUAUCUGUGGAACAAGAAUGUUGUAUAUAACUGUGGUCAGGGUGUGGAACCUAUGUACAAUGUAAAAGGCAUGAGCAUGCACGGAUUUCAGCAUCUGAUCCAUGUGGACUUUGCUUUAUAAGAGGAGCUGAUUAGACAAUGCAACAAGGAUAGUUGCAGUUUUUUUUGUCCAAGGUGUAAGAAGUUUCAUGACCAGUUUCUGUAUGAGAGUCCAAGUUUGAAGUGGAUAAAACCUCAAUCCAUGUGAAAAAAGCAUGUGUGGCUAUGCUGAAUAAUGAUGUUUGCCAACGGCGCUAUAAGUUAAAGAAGAUGUAUUUUGAUCCUCUUCCACUACAUCAAGUGCCCAAGAAAUGUGUUGAUAUUUGUUUGAAAUGUGUUCAGACUUAUAAUGAUGAUGGCAUUGACAUGUGUAAGUCUUGCCAUUUUCUCUGUAACUGAUACCCUAUGUUCUGGAGAUGGGAUUAACAUGUAAUGGAUAUGGCAUUGAUCAUCUGUACCUGAUCUUUUGUUUUCUAAACCUUUUCUGUGAUAAAAAUAGAUUGUGAUCUGUGAUGAUA